rnacentral:lncRNA from 1 species
CUGAUCUUUUCCCUGACAUCUGUAAGUUGGCUAUAGGAGCCCCUCCUGGAUGGGACUUGGAGGGGUACUCUGACAUUCAGAGGGCACCUUUAACACCCCCUCCGUACGUAGAAAAACAUUCGAGAGACCCAUGGGGUGGUUGCUCUAACCAAAGGGAUAGAAGUAAGCUUCGAACCCAUCCCUUCUAUGUCUGCCCCGGGCCCCACCGAAGUCAGUCCCUCAAUCCAACGUGUGGAGCGUCUUAUGUACCUGGAGGAUUUGACCUAGACGAGUGUACUGACUGGUGCCAUCCGCUCCGUGUCACCUUCACUGAACCAGGGAAGAGAGCUCUGGGAUGGACAAAAGGGUAUACCUGGGGUCUUAGGAUUUACAAGGAAAGAUAUGAUGAGGGAUUAUUGUUCACUAUCAGAUUAAAAAUAGAGACCCCCUACAAUCCUUUAGGCCCCCCAACCAAGUUCACACCCCUCACCCAUACAAUUACUCAGCCUACUCCAGUGAUUGCGGACCCCCUUAAUAUGGCCGCUAUCACCCAACCUCCCACUCCUCAGGUACCUCUAACUAUUACCCCCGCGAUUCCUUCAAGACAGAGGAUGUUUAACCUAGUGAGAGGAGCCUUUUAUGCCCUUAACAGAACUGAUCCAAGCGCUACUGAGGACUGCUGGCUAUGCCUGUCCUUGGGUCCGCCUUAUUAUGAAGGAAUCGCCUUCAAUGGAGAUUUCAACAGAACCAGCAGCCAUACUUCCUGCUCUUGGGGUACAGGACAAAAACUGACCCUGACUGAAGUAUCCGCGAGGAAUCCAGGUCUCUGUAUAGGUACCCCACCUUCCACUCACAAACACCUAUGCGGACAAAUUCAGUCCGUGUCCAGAACGGAAGCUAAUUACUAUCUUGUACCUUCCCCGGUUGGAUGGUGGGCUUGCAAUACAAGACUUACUCCCUGUGUAUCAACUAA